UACGGGGGGGGCAAGCGUUGUUCGGAAUUACUGGGCGUAAAGGGCUCGUAGGCGGCCAACUAAGUCAGACGUGAAAUCCCUCGGCUUAACCGGGGAGCUGCGUCUGAUACUGGAUGGCUUGAGGUUGGGAGAGGGAUGCGGAAUUCCAGGUGUAGCGGUGAAAUGCGUAGAUAUCUGGAGGAACACCGGUGGCGAAGGCGGCAUCCUGGACCAAUUCUGACGCUGAGGAGCGAAAGCCAGGGGAGCAAAGCGGG
rnacentral:rRNA from 1 species